rnacentral:rRNA from 1 species
GAUGAACGCUGGCGGCGUGCCUAAUACAUGCAAGUAGAACGCAAAAGGCGGAGCUUGCUCUUUCCGGAUGCGUUGCGAACGGGAACGUAACGCUUAGGUAACCUGCCUGGUAGCGGGGGUUAACUAUUGGAAACGAUAGCUAAUACCGCAUAACAGUAGAUAUUGCGUGAGAUGUACUUGAAAGGGGCAAUUGCUCGACUACCAGAUGGACCUGCGUUGUAUUAGCUAGUUGGUGAGGUAACGGCUCACCAAGGCGACGAGACAUAGCCGACCUGAGCGGGGGAUCGGCCGCACGGGGACGGGGACACGGCCCAGAGGCCUGAGGGAGGCAGCAGUCGGGAACCUUCGGCAAUGGAGGGAAGUCUGACCGAGCAAGGCGGCGUGAGUGAAGAAGGUUCUCGGAGCGGAAAGCUCUGUUGUAAGUGAAGAACGGGUGUGAGAGUGGAAAGUUCACACUGUGACGGUAUCUGAACAGAAAGGAACGGCUAACUACGUG